UACGAAGGGGGGCUAGCGUUGUUCGGAUUUACUGGGCGUAAAGCGCACGUAGGCGGAUCGUUAAGUUGGGGGGUGAAAUCCUGGAGCUCAACUCCAGAACUGCCUUCAAUACUGGCGAUCUAGAGUCCGGAAGAGGUGAGUGGAACUCCUAGUGUAGAGGUGGAAUUCGUAGAUAUUAGGAAGAACACCAGUGGCGAAGGCGGCUCACUGGUCCGGUACUGACGCUGAGGUGCGAAAGCGUGGGGAGCAAACAGG
rnacentral:rRNA from 1 species